AAAGCCAGUCUAAGCUCGACUUAGUUAUGAUCAUUAGGGCCGGUAAACCUCGUGCCAGCCACCGCGGUUACACGAGGGGCCCAAAACAGCAGACACCGGCGUAAAUUGUGACUAGAGCACCUACUUCUGAGAAAUAAACAAAAGCCCGACCGUAAAACCUGGGCCAAAAGAAACACACCUUCUCAACCACAAAGUAGCUUGAACCCACGAAGACUAAGAAACAAACUAGGAUUAGAUACCCUACUAUGCUUAGUUGUCAACACGACACCAAAAAACAACAGUGUCCGCCAGAGAAUUACACGCGAAAAGCUUAAAACUCAAAGGACUUGGCGGUGCUCCGUAUUCGUCUUAGAGGAGCCUGUCCUAUAAUCGAUAACCCACGUUUUACCUUACCAUCUUUUGUCAAAACAGCCUAUAUACCGCCGUCGCAAACUUACCCCAUGAGGGCACAACAGUAAGUAAAAAAGUAACACACUAACACGUCAGGUCAAGGUGUAGCUAAUAAGAUGGAAGAGAUGGGCUACAUUUUCUAAAACAGAACACACGGCAAAGGACAUUGAAACAGAUGCCCUCAAAGGUGGAUUUAAUAGUAAGAUAGAAAAGAAAGCCUAUCUAAAACCCGCUCCGGAGCGCGCACACAC
rnacentral:rRNA from 1 species